rnacentral:rRNA from 1 species
AUUGAACGCUGGCGGCAGGCCUAACACAUGCAAGUCGAAAGAGUGGCGGACGGGUGAGUAAUGUCUGGGAAACUGCCAGAUGGAGGGGGAUAACUACUGGAAACGGUAGCUAAUAACGCAUACCAUCGGAUGUGCCACGAUGGGAUUAGCUAGUAGGUGGGUGGACGGCUCACCGAGGCGACGGACCCUAGCUGGUCUGAGAGGAUGACCAGCACACCUGGAACGGAGACAUGGUCCAGACUCCUCCGGGAGGCAGCAGUGGGGAAUAUUGCAGAAUGAGCGCAAGCCUGAUGCAGCCAUGCCGCGUGUAUGAAGACGGCAUUCGGGUUGUAAUGUACUUGCAGCGAGGAGGCGGUACUCGCAGAAUAAGCACCGGCUAACUCAGUGCCAGCGGCCGCGGUGAUUC